UCCAAAUUGAGUUCUGAAAAUUGUCACGUGUUCGUGACGUCGUGUAGAUCAUCGUGGUGAAAAUUAUACAGACGAAGAACGUAACCAAUCUAGGCGAGGAGGUUACGAACCGGCUACUUAUCAGUUCUAGGUAGCGUAUAUCGGUGAGUCUCGAGGUGUCCAGCUGAAAGUUCUGACAAACCACCACUCAUGUAGGAUCAUCGUCGAGUGUUGUUAAAUAUGUACAUCUUAUGUUUGACUGCACUUAGACUUUGUGCUCUGGUUGUGUAAUCACACUUAAACUUUCUUUAGAACCUAUCGUAUUUGGUUUUAAUUAGUCGUACUUUUCUUAUAAAAUAUCGCUUCCGCACAGCGCACAUGGCUACGUCACGCUCACGUGACGGCCAGCAUGCCUUGACUUCGGUCGG